GGUUCGAUCCUGGCUCAGAUUGAACGCUGGCGGGAUGCUUUACACAUGCAAGUCGAACGGCAGCACGGACUUCGGUCUGGUGGCGAGUGGCAACAGGUGAGUAAUGUAUCGGAACGUGCCUAGUAGCGGGGGAUAACUACGCGGCGUAGCCUAAUACCGCAUACGCCCUUCGGGGGAAAGCGGGGGACCUUCGGGCCUCGCACUAUUGAAGCAGCCGAUAUCAGUUAACUAAGUGGUGAGCUGCUGUGGCUCACCGGCAGCGAUCAUGGCUGAUUUGAAGAUGACUCGCUUCCCACUGGACUGGAGUACAGCCCAGACUCCGGAAACAACGUGAAAUUUACAGAUGUAUGGAAACCUGAUCCAGCCAUCCCGCGUGUGCGAUGAAGGCCUUCAAGUUCAAAGCACUUUGGCAGGAAAGAAACAGCCUGGGAUAAUACCCGUGCAACUGACCCAUUUUCCCAGAAUAUUUCCUUCUUCAUUACAGCAACCACCGAUAGCCAUGGAGUGCAAGCGUUAAUCGAUUACUGGGCGUAAAGCGUGCGCAGGCGUUCGAAAGAAAGAUGCAUGAAAUCCCAAACCGCUUUUCUGGAAUUUAUUUUUAACUACAAACUGGUGUGUCAGAGGAGGUGAAUUCAAAUGUAGCAGUGAAAUGCGUAGAUAUGCGGAGGGGGAACACCGAUGGCGAAGGCAGCCUCCUGGGAUAACACUGACGCUCCCACGCACGAAAGCAGGAGCAAACAGGAUUAUUGCCCUGGUAGUCCACGCCCUAAACGAUCAACUAGCUGUUGGGCCUUCGGGCCUUGGUAGCGCAGCCUGUACGCGUGAAAAGUUGACCGCCUGGGAAUUACGGUCGCAAGAUUAAAACUCAAAGGUGGCGGGGACCACCAGCGAUGGAUGUGGUUCAUUCGAAUACGCGCGAAAAGCCGCCUCUCUCCAUGUCUGAAUCCCAAGAUUGGGAGUGCUCGCAAAGAGAACCGGAACACAGGUGCUGCAUGGCUGUCGUCAGCUCGUGUCGUGAGAUGUUGGGUUAAGUCCGCAACGAGCGCAACCCUUGUAUUGGUGCCACGAAGGCGCUUUCAGCCGGAACUGCCGGUGACAAACCGGAGGAAGGUGGGGAUGACGUCGGUCUCGUAACGCCUGGGUAGAACUACGCAUCUUCAAUGGUCGCGGGACAGAGGGUCGCCAACCCGCGAGAGACCAAUCGAAACCCGAUGUGAUCAGAUCACCGCAGUGCAACUCAUUCUUGGCGAUCCGGAAUCGUAGUAAUCGCCGGAUCAGCAUGUCGCGGUGAAUACGUUCGGGUCUUCCACCUGCCAUCCGCACCAUGGGGUGGACUUUACGAAGUAGUUAGCUGGCAUGCAGGAGGGCGAAUCUACCUGUUGAUUCAUGACUGAGAUGAAGUCUGUAACAAGUGG
rnacentral:rRNA from 1 species